UCACUGAUAGUGUAUUGGCUAGUACACCCGCCUGUCAUCGGUUUCCCACAGGCCUCUGUCGCGGGAGAGCUGGGUUCAAUUCCCAGUCAGAGAG